GUUGGUGUUAUUAGCGACGGGGCUACACCUGAUCCCAUUCCGAACUCAGAAGUUAAGUCCGUCAGCGGCGAUGGUACUGUAGCCGAAAGGUUGUGGAAGAGUAGCACGAUGCCAACU
rnacentral:rRNA from 1 species